AAAGGAAUAGACGGGGGCCCGCACAAGCGGUGGAGCAUGUGGUUUAAUUCGACGCAACGCGAAGAACCUUACCAAGACUUGACAUCCCGCUGACCGUAGUUGUAAUGACUACUUCCCUUCGGGGCAGCGGUGACAGGUGGUGCAUGGUUGUCGUCAGCUCGUGUCGUGAGAUGUUGGGUUAAGUCCCGCAACGAGCGCAACCCCUAUUUCCAGUUGCCAUCAUUAAGUUGGGCACUCCGGAGAGACUGCCGUAGAUAAUGCGGAGGAAGGUGGGGAUGACGUCAAAUCAUCAUGCCCCUUAUGUCUUGGGCUACACACGUGCUACAAUGGUCGGUACAGAGGGCAGCGACACCGCGAGGUCGAGCCAAUCCCACAAAGCCGAUCCCAGUUCGGAUUGUAGGCUGCAACCCGCCUGCAUGAAGUCGGAAUCGCUAGUAAUCGCAGGUCAGCAUACUGCGGUGAAUACGUUCCCGGGCCUUGCACACACCGCCCGU
rnacentral:rRNA from 1 species